UCGUCGACGAUGCUGGCUCCCGUUGGUGCGCGAUGCUCCGGAUGGAUCCUCGUGGUCCAUUAGCGAGGGCACGCCAUCUUCGGCUUGAAUGUUCCGGCAACGUAGUCGUGCACUUCUCCCCUAGUAGGACGUCGCGACCCGUUGUGUGUCGGUCUACGGUCCGAGUGGGCGCCUGUCGCGUCGCUUCUUGCGCACGUGGCAGACCCUCGGUCGCCUGGCCGGCUGCACGACGGUACUCGCACGGUAUCGGGCCGCAACCAAUCCAUUCUCGAAUGUGUGUGCGUCGGGCCCGCCGCAAGCUCGGUCAGUAUACCCGGAGGUGCGGACCUAGCGCCGUCCCCGGGCCUGACCAGCUGUUAGCAGGCGGUGUCCUCGGACUGGCCAAGCUUCGAAUUACCGGUCGGCGACGCUAUUGCUUUGGGUACUCUCAGGACCCGUCUUGAAACACGGACCAAGGAGUCUAACAUGUGCGCGAGUCAUUGGGAUGCAUAAACCUAAAGGCGAAAUGAAAGUGAAGGUCGACCUUCGCGUCGACCUAGGGAGGAUGGGCCGCGUUACGAUGCGGCCUCGCACUCACGGGGCGUUUCGUUCUCAUUGCGAGAAGAGGCGCACCUAGAGCGUACACGUUGGGACCCGAAAGAUGGUGAACUAUGCCUGGUCAGGACGAAGUCAGGGGAAACCCUGAUGGAGGUCCGUAGCGAUUCUGACGUGCAAAUCGAUCGUCGGAACUGGGUAUAGGGGCGAAAGACUAAUCGAACCAUCUAGUAGCUGGUUCCCUCCGAAGUUUCCCUCAGGAUAGCUGGCACUCGCUCGUUCCUAUUGAACGCGUGCGAGUCUCAUCUGGUAAAGCGAAUGAUUAGAGGCCUUGGGGCCGAAACGACCUCAACCUAUUCUCAAACUUUAAAUGGGUGAGAUCUCUGGCUUGCUUGGAUUAUGAAGCCACGAGAUUUUGGAUCAGAGUGCCAAGUGGGCCAAUUUUGGUAAGCAGAACUGGCGCUGUGGGAUGAACCAAACGCAGAGUUAAGGCGCCUAAGUCGACGCUUAUGGGAUACCAUGAAAGGCG
rnacentral:rRNA from 1 species